CCGAUUGAAGAUGAGCCAGUACAACACCCAGAGCCAAAUCCCAGGUAAUGAUCAAAUCCACCCUCGAUCUGUUUCGACCCUCCCACCCUUUUGAUGUCGAUUCUCUCUCUAUCUCUCUCUCUAGUUUUUGCCGAUCUGAUCUUGGUCAAAAUCGUUUCUCCUGCUCCUCUUCUCAAUGCAUUGGUGUUCUGCAAAUCGAGCGGGUUUAUAUGGACUUAGGAUUUGCAGAAUUCGCACGUUGGUCGUAAUUAGGGUCGAGCAAGAGCUCCAAAGUCGGAUAGUGGUCGGUGGACGAUUGUGACAGUAGUGGUUCAGGAAUCCGUUUGUUCAUCUGUUGUUGUUUUUAGACUUGACAAAGAAAUCGAUCUAGCUCUCCUUCUUUCGGGUUAGAACUUGUGUUUUUCUUGGGAGGAGCCGCCGGCGGUCUUCCAGGGGGCCUGGUGGAGGCGGCUGUGGCUGCUGGCCCCACCACCGAAGUUCAAACAACCUUUUCAAACUAUUGAGCUUGAAUUAUGUGCUCUUGGGUAUUCAUAUAUCGAUGACUUGUGAUGACAAUAUGCAAUAUUCUGUGCAGAGGCGUACCCACCACCGGCAUCAGCACCUGUGUACGUGGCGCCACCACCGCUCGGCUAUCCCGCGAGGGACGCCCAACAGCCAGUGCAGAACACCGUCCCUAUCGAGACCAAGACUAGGGGCGACGGCUUCUGGAAGGGCUGGUAAGUGAUUAUCUCGCAAUGCAGCCCCUCCUUUGCUUCUGCAUAUUUAUACACAUUCGCUUGUCCUAAUUGCGCUCCUUCUUGUCUUCACCAGCUGCGCUGCGAUCUGCUGUUGCUGCGUCCUGGAUGCCUGCUUCUAGGAAUUCCCAGGAGAGGAUCGCCUUCCGCUUGAUUCGUUGAUCUUUGUGUUUAGCAUUCGAUUCUACAGAUCUUCUUUUGUCAUUCUUGAGAUAAAUGGGACAUGUUGUAGUCAUCAUAUACCUUUAUUAUUGCUGUGAUAUAUACUAGCGUUCUUGGGUUUUUCUUGCAUCUUUUAUGUCACACUUCAACCCCGAGUUUCCCUUCUCUUUCUCAUCCACGAAGCGAGUCCAAGAUGAAUUUAAGAUUGAGAUCCAAGCUACAUGCGAAAGUAGACGUACCUAUUCUUAUUAACAAGACAUUUGGGUAGCUCAUCGCUUUAGAGAGGUGAACAUAAUUAUAGAUUGGGCGCAAAAGCCUAAACAAGAAAAUCCUUGUCACGAAAUAGAAUCUCAUUUCCCCUCCCUUUGGAGUCCUAUUGAACCGACUUGGUGGGCCUUGACGUCUUGUCUUAGCAAAAUUGAAUGCCACUCAUCAUUCAACCAAGAAAAAAAAGGAUUUCUAUGCCACGUGUUCAUAUUUAUGCACAUGUUACUCCUGAACAUUUGGCUCUGAACAUGUGGCUCGUUCGUUGCUCGAUGGAGACUUGACAUUUCUUUUCGGUCGUUAAAUCACAAUGCGUUUCCUAAGUUUCUGUCGAUCGAGCACGAAACUCCCGUUGCGUGUGCGUUUUGAGGUCAGAAGAUUGCACGGGACUCGCCUCGACUCUUUCUUCGACAACCAAAGUUGACCAAACAACUUAGAUUGGAUUAGAAAGAGGCCCAAUAGUUUCACACCAUUCGGCGACAACAAGGUGCCAUGUGGCAGUAUUUUGACCCUAUUUGGGAUCACAAGUAUAAUGAGGUACGUAACCAACCCCGCCCCAGGCCCCCCCAGCCAACAGCAUCAUGUCACGGCCAAGAGGUUUUCAAAGAUGAAGGACCAGGCCGUGACGCGGAGGACCUCCUGCACUCGCUGGGAUUCCCAUCAAGUCUUCUUCCUGAAGUUUCCAAGGAUGGGCGACGCUGUCAUUACGCCUGAUUCUAGAAGUUUCUAGACUUAUUAAUGUCGGUAGAUGGUAGUUGCCAUUAAUGUCGGUAGUUGAGGCGGUGCGAUAUCAUCCACUGGAUAAAUUCUAGAUCAACGAAUGUAAUCAGAGGACCUUGAGUAUAAGAAGGGGUGCUCUCCCCCCUCAUUUGUAUCAUCCAACAUUUCAGUAAUACAAAGCUCAUUUCUUUCCAAAGCUCCUCUCUCUAGAAGCUUUAUCUCUCUACGAUCUGGGUGUGCGAGCGAGUUGUACGAUUGAUCAAGCAAGGCUUGGCUUGGGUGAUCCAAAGUGCUCGAGUCGCUAUGCGGUCACGAUCCCAAUCGAUUGGCCUAUGACAAGUGGUAUCAGAGCAAAUGAGAGUUCUGUUUUGAGAGAUCGAGGAGCACCAUCUGAUCGAGAGAAUGUCGAGCCAAGAAGCUGCUAUGGAUGGAGAGGCCGUGCAAGUCAAGGAGACCCACGGCUGAGCAAAGAAAAGAGAUGCCUUGAUGGAUGCCAUAGCUGCGUUCGAUGAGAAGAUCGGGAAGGUCCGGAGUGCCGUGCUCGAGCUCAUGGAAGGUCUUGACAAUGUGAGAGACCGGAUCAUGGAGGUUGAGACCUCACUCCGUGAAGACUUCACGACCAGCCUCAACAAAGCUACAGCCCCAUUGCACGAUAUGGACGAAGCCCUUGAAGCAUCGAUCGAUGUGUUGAAAGAGUGCGUCCAAGUGAUCGAGGAGGAAAGUCCGCAUAGGGACGAGGUCGAAGCCAUGAAGGCGGAGAUCCAAGAGCUCAAGACCGAGCUCGCCCUAUGCAAGCUAAGCAUUGCCGAUGGAGCAAUGCCAACACAAGCGGUGCCCAAGCUCAAGGUGCCGAAGCCAAAAGAGUUCAAAGGCGAACAAUCCACCAAAAAGGUGGACAACUUUGUUUGGAGCAUGGAGUAAUACUUUGGCAUUGUCAACAUCCAAAAUGAGUCAAUCCAGGUACAAACCACUUUGAUGUUCCUUUCUGAUACUACAAUGCUUUGGUGGCAAAAUAGGUGCGAUGAGACUAGGCGCGGUGCCAAUCCCAUGGAGACAUGAGAUGACUUCAUAAGGGAAUUCCGAGACUAUUUCUUCCCCGAGUUUGCUCAACAAGAAGCCCGUAGCAAGCUGCAUCGCCUCGAACAAAGAGGUGCCAUCCGAGAGUACGCGAAGGAGUUCACGGAGCUCAAACUCCAAAUCCGCAACCUAAAUGAGGAGGAGUCUCUCAGAGCGUUCAUGGAUGGAUUGAAGCCGUGGGCACUACUCAAGCUCAAGCGACGAUGUGUCGAGUCUCGCGAGAGCGCUAAGCGUGGCCGAGUCACUCGUCGAACUCACCAAAGUCAAACCGAGGAAUAAAGCAAGGGAUUGGAGGUCGGAUCGAUCCGAGGACGAAGGAAGGAACACUCCCCGAGGCCGGCAUGAACAAAGCGGCCUAGUCAAAACCUGGGGUGAAGGCACUUCUAAGCCAGCCUUCCAAAAGGGUCGACCAACGAACUGCUUGACAAGUAAGUUCGAUCAACCCCCGCCUUCUCCUUGUUUUAUCUACAAAGGUUCGCAUUGGACCCAAAAGUGCCCGAAGAAGGGUCGAAUCAAUGCCCUCCUUGCCAUCGAGGAAGAGGAGGAGCCUAAAGAAGACAAGCGGCAAAUCCGGCUUGGAGCUGUGAAGAUGAUCAACUCCGUCCAAGCUCAAUCACCGUCCAAAGAAAAAGAGGUUGCGUCGAACUCGGACAUGUUCUUCGUGGAAGUCAACGUGUGCGGCCGAACGCUAUACGUCUUGGUCAACAUGGGUGCGUUGAACAUGUUCAUGUCGACCGAAGUGGCGAAGGCCUUGAAACUUCGCGUGGAGCCAAUCGGGAAUUCCUUCAAGCCUAUCAACUCGGAGGGCCUCCAUGGUGUAGGAUCGACUUCGGAUGUGGAUGUCAAAAUCGGCAGAUGGAAGGGCAAGAUGGCAUUUGAGGUAAUCCCUCUCGACGAUUAUGAUCUCAAUUUGGGAAUGCAAUUCUUCGAUAGCGUGAGAGCCAUGAUCAACAUGAGGACCAAGUGCAUUAUGAUCCUCGACCCAAAAUGCCCGUCGAUGAUUCCCAUGAUCAAAGCAAUUGACACCAAGACCAUUGUGACGAUCCGACACUUUGACAAGAGCUUGAAGGCCGUGAAGUGCAUGAACAAGCCGGUUGAGGAGAAGUCGAAGGUAGAGCUAGAUCCUACUCCAACUCACGCCAUGCCAAUUCAAGCACUCUUCCCCAAGGUUGAGUACGCGUCGCAUGAUCUGUCCAAGCCGAAGACGGAGCCAUGUGCCACGCUCGAGCUGAUAAUCGAAGGGUGUGGUCCGUCGUUUGUGAGCAUCCGCACCAAACGAAACCGAAACAAGAAAGCCCAUGCCAAAGCCCGUGCUUGUGCGAAGAAGGCCGCUCGUCAAGCUGUGAGCAACGAGGGCGUCACUCGAUUGAGUGGGGCAGAAUGUCACGGCCAAGGGGUUUCCGAAGAUGAAGGACCGGGCUGUGAUGCGGAGGACCUCCUGCACUCGUUAGGAUUCCCAUCAAGUCUUCUUCCUGAAGUUUCCAAGGGCAGGCGACAUCGUCAUUAUGCCUGAUUCUAGAAGUUUCUAGCCUUUUUAAUGUCGGUAGAUGGUAGUUGCCAUUAAUGUCGGUAGUUGAGGCAGUGCAAUCUCGUCCACCGGAUAAAUUCUAGAUCAACAGAUGUAAUUAGAGGGCCUCGAGUAUAAGAAAGGGUGCCCUCUCCCCUCAUUUGUAUCAUCCAACAUUUCAGUAAUACAAAACUCCUUUCUUUCUAGAGCUCCUUUCUCUAGAAGCUUUCUCUCUCUACGAUCCAGGUGUGCGAGCGAGUUGUGCAAUUGAUCGAGCAAGGCUUGGCUUGGGUAAUCCAAAGUAAUCGAGUCGCCGCGCGGUUACGAUCCCAAUCGAUUGGCCUGUGACAAUCAGCGACGACAUACUGUAGCUUAUUGAAUUUCAUCACCAAAAUUUUAAUCUUUUAUUGAAUUUUGAAUAUUCGAAAUUGGGUGAAAGGACUAAACUGAUAAAUCGUUAAAAUGUUCAAGACUAAAUUGACAAAUCAUAAAAAAGUUUAUGAUUGAAUUGGUAAUUUGUCUAAAAUUUUUAAAUUAAAUUGAUACAAUUAAAAUGUUUAGAAUUGAAUUGACCACUGUACGAUAGAUUUAUAAUCUGUUGAACAAUUUUCUCGAAAGAAAGUAUAUUCCAGAAAAAUAAAAAAUAAAAAAUAAAAAAUAAAAAAAAAUAUAUAAGGGUUGCUAUUAGGGCGCAAUGGUUAUAUCUUCCGAAGACGCAAUCAUCAUCCUUAUUUCUCUCGACUAAGAAACAAGAGUCAAAUGUAUCAUUUUGCAAAGUUUGCUUUUCAUGGCACCUCAUUUUUUUAAUUAGAAAAAGGAAAACAGCAUAGCAAUCUUGAUAUGGAGUUUUUUUUCAAAAAUAAAUCUCACUCCUUUUUUUAUGUACAUAUAUGUGCAAUGCUCACAAGGAUCAAAUACCGGAUCCGAUACUCUUCAGCCUCACCCCUUUAAUCCCUUUAUUAGCAGGACUGCAAGCCUUUUGCCAUCUGGUUAUAGAGUUGGAAGUGGGGUUUUUGGUCACCUUUCAAAUUUUUUUUUUUUUUUUUUUGUUUCUUUUGGACCUUCGCAUGUCCGUCUCCUCUGUCGAGCAUGUGAGUUUAACUAAUCCACAUCUCGAUUCUUCAAAAAGCAACAAAUCUAAUAUAAAUUACAUAAAUAAACGACAAAACAGAUUGCUUACAGAAGAAUGCUAGCAGGUUUCGAAGGUUUGGACCGAACGAACGACCGACCGGCCGAGCGGCCCCACCAAAGAGCAUUCGCAUUAGGCGACGCGGAGAAGGAAAAGGAAAAAACGGCAGAGACGUACGCAAUACGACAUCAUUAUUUUUUGCAAAUAAAUAAAUACAUGAAUAAAUUAGAAACUGUUUCGACGAGGGCUGAGGAGAUCGGCCCUGAGACGACACCGCGUUUUUUCUCCCUUCGUGGGCCGCAUCAAACAAAGACAGCACGGCCUCCUCCUCGGCUUUGUUUAAUCCUCACGUUGGCUGGCUGACGCCGCCGAAAAGCGCCACCUGUCACGAAUUAAGAAGGUCCUCAAAAGUCCUCAUUCAACUCCAAUCUGUAUUAUUCGUCAACCUUUUGAGAUUCCUUUAUUCACGAUUCUAUAAUCCAAUUAAGUAAUGAAAGUAACUAAUCCGGCACGUUAUAGAAAAAUUAGAAUGCAUUUGCUACAUUGAAAACUUAGUCAUAUGUGAAAAUAUUAGGAAAAUAAUUAGUUUUCAUUUAUUUGGCGAUCAGGAAAAGUGACUUUCUUUUUGCCAAAAUGAGAAAUCAUUUUCCCAUAUCUAAGCUUGUUGUCCAUGGAAAAUGUUAGAGAUAAUUAGGAUAGUACUCUAAGAUAUUAUCCUAUAUUAUAUAUAAUUAGAAUACUAUGUUGGCUUUCUGACUCUCAAAAUUGUGUGAUAUCUACUUUGAUUGUGCAUAUCUUGAUUGAUAUAUUUUAUCUUUGAUAGUCUCUUACAAAGUCUAUAAAUAUACCGAUGUGCUCUUCAUUAUAAUAUAUCGAAAUAUAUUGAGAAUUCUCAUCUUCUCUCUUUAAUGUUUUUACAUUUAACAAAAAUCAUUUUCUUUAGUUCAAUUAGCUUUCCGUUAUACAAAAAUCGAAAAGUCAAGAAAUUUUUUUUCUCGAAAAUAGUCUUCCUUUAAACAAAUAAACCCUAAACUUGUUCAAUAACUCUAAUUGGCAUCAGUGUAUAGAAUCCAAUCAAGUGAGGAACUCACUCAUUAUGUUAGGUGACAUCAAGAUUACCCCAUGUGUGUCUAAUAAAAUCGGAAAUUAUAGGUAUGAGAAAAUCACCCCAAUUGCACUGUUUUAAGAUCUGCUGCAAAUUAAUAACAAUGGACGAUUGAUCUUUCAAUAAUUAUCAAGGAAAUUUUCAAUGUUUUUGACACUUGCUUGCUAGGUCAUUUCGACACAAUCUCGGAGUUAAUCACAUCUUAUAAGAGUUUGUUUGGAAUGACUUUCGCUUCUUAAUUUUCUUCCUCAAUCUAAGUCUUGCAAUUUGCAUAAUCACUUUUUUCUUGUUUUUAAAUCCGAAACUCCCGAAAAUUAGUAACUUUCGUUUUUGAUUUUUGACAUACUAAAUUUUGACCAGGAAAAAAGAGGAAGUAAAAACGAGAACCGGUUCGUCAGCUAAAGUUCGGGAAGGACGGGAGAACGCUUUGGCUUGGCCUUUUGCUUAGUGUGUACGAGCUCCUGCGUCGCGACGCGCCUUCGGAAGCAUCGUCAACUACCGCCUGCUCCCCCUCCUCCUUCCCAGCAUCUUCUUACUCCUCCAUUCUUUCUAUAAAUCUCCGCACCAUAUCUGCAUUCUCAUCAUCUCCUAUCAUCUCUCUUGCUUCCUCUCUCCAUCAUCUCCACCAUCUACGUCAUCUCUCUCUCCAUCGUAUCUCUCCAAGCACAGAACUUCCUCGUGAGCUAGGAGAGAUCUCAGUCAACGUUUUCCGAUCGAAGAUGAGCCAGCACAACACCCAGAGCCAAAUCCCAGGUAAUGAUCAAACCCACCCUCGAUCUGUUUCGACUGUCCCGCCCUUUUGAUGUCGAUUCUCUCUAUCUCUCUCUCUAGUUUUUGCCGAUCUGAUCUUGGUCAAAAUCGUUUCUCCUGCUCCUCUUCUCAAUGCAGUGGUGUUCUGCAAAUCGAUCGGGUUUAUAUGGACUUAGGAUUUGCAGAAUUCGCACAUUGGUCGUAAUUAGGGUCGAGCAAGAGCUCCAAAGUCGGAUAGUGGUCGGUGGACGAUUGUAACAGUAGUAGUUCAGGAAUCCGUUUGUUCAUCUGUUCUUGUUUUUAGACUUGACAAAGAAAUCGAUCUAGCUCUCCUUUUCGGUUAGAAUUUGUGUUUGAAUUCUUGGGAGGAGCCGCCGGCGGUCUUCUUGGGGGCCUGGUGGAGGCGGCUGUGGUUGCUGGCCCAACCACCGAAGUUCAAACAGCCUUUUCAAACUAUUGACCUUGAAUUAUAUGCUCUUGGAUAUUCAUAUAUCGUUGACUUGUGAUGACAAUAUGCAAUAUUCUGUGCAGUGGCGUACCCACCACCGGCAUCAGCACCUGCGUACGUGGCGCCACCACCGCCCGGCUAUCCCACGAGGGACGCCCAACAGCCAGUGCAGAACACCAUCCCCAUCGAGACCAAGACUAGGGGCGACGGCUUCUGGAAGGGCUGGUAAGUGAUUAUCUCGCAAUGCAGCCCCUCCUUUGCUUCUACAUAUUUAUACACAUUCGCUUGUCCUAAUUGCGCUCCUUCUUGUCUUCAC
rnacentral:lncRNA from 1 species